rnacentral:rRNA from 1 species
UACGAGAGGCCCAAACGUUAUUCGGAAUUACUGGGCUUAAAGAGUUCGUAGGCGGCGCAGAAAGUAGGGUGUGAAAGCCCUCGGCUCAACCGAGGAAUUGCGCCCUAAACUACUGUGCUUGAGGAACCUAGAGGUGAGCGGAACUGAUGGUGGAGCGGUGAAAUGCGUUGAUAUCAUCAGGAACACCGGAGGCGAAGGCGGCUCACUGGGGGUUUUCUGACGCUGAGGAACGAAAGCCAGGGGAGCGAACGGG